AUACUAAAUCAUAUCUAGUAGUGGUGAGGGGGAGGUGGUGAUGCAUAGACAUAGUGUGGUGGAGGUGGAGAGGGAUACUUAGGUGGAGGUGGAGGUGACUUGUAAUAGUAAGCUGGGGGAGGAGGAGAAGGGUACUUGUAUGGUGGAGGUGGAGGAGAUGGGUACUUGUAAGGAGGAGGAGGAGAUUUGUACUUGUAAACAGGUGGUGGAGGAGAUGGGUACUUGUAUGGUGGAGGUGGAGGAGAUGGGUACUUGUAAGGAGGAGGAGGAGAUUUGUACUUGUAAACAGGUGGUGGAGGAGAUGGAUACUUGUAUGGAGGGGGUGGAGGAGAAGGGUAUUUGUAGGGAGGUGGUGGUGACUUGUACUUGUAGACUGGAGGUGGUGGUGAUUUGUACUUGUAGACUGGAGGUGGUGGUGACUUGUACUUGUACACUGGUGGUGGGGGUGAUGGAUAUUUGUAAGGCUUCUUAGGAGGUGGUGGUGGUGACUUGUACUUGUAAACCGGAGGUGGUGGUGACUUGUACUUAUAAACUGGUGGUGGUGGAGAAGGGUAUUUGUAAGGCUUCUUAGGAGGUGGUGGAGGAGAUGAGUACUUAUAGGGUGGAGGUGGUGACUUAUUCUUGUAAAUUGGUGGUGGAGAAGAAGGGUACUUGUAUGGUGGUGAAGGAUGGUGAUAAGGAUGCUUGGGAGGUGAGUACUCUU
rnacentral:lncRNA from 1 species